rnacentral:rRNA from 1 species
AUUGAACGCUGGCGGCAGGCCUAACACAUGCAAGUCGAGCGGGGUUUUCGGACCUAGCGGCGGACGGGUGAGUAAUGCGUAGGAAGCUGCCCGAUAGAGGGGGAUACCAGUUGGAAACGACUGUUAAUACCGCAUAAUGUCUACGGACCAAAGUGUGGGACCUUCGGGCCACAUGCUAUCGGAUGCGCCUACGUGGGAUUAGCUAGUUGGUGAGGUAAUGGCUCACCAAGGCGACGAUCUCUAGCUGGUUUGAGAGGAUGAUCAGCCACCCUGGAACUGAGACAAGGGCCAGACUCCUACGGGAGGCAGCAGUGGGGAAUAUUGGACAAUGGGCGCAAGCCUGAUCCAGCCAUGCCGCGUGUGUGAAGAAGGCCUUCGGGUUGUAAAGCACUUUCAGCGAGGAGGAAGGGUGGUGUGUUAAUAGCACAUCAUUUUGACGUUACUCGCAGAAGAAGCACCGGCUAACUCUGUGCCAGCCGCCGCAGUAACAC